rnacentral:lncRNA from 8 species
AUGGAUUUCACACACACAGAGGGAGACACAGACUACUGGCUGCCACUACUACUGGUAAUACUACUGCCACUACUACUAACCAUGCUACUACUACCACUGCUGCUUCCACUACUACUGGUAAUACUACUGCCACUACUACUAACCAUGCUACUACUACCACUGCUGCUUCCACUACUACUGGUAAUACUACUGCCACUACUACUAUCCAUGCUACUACUGCCACUACUACUGCUACUGGUAAUACUACUGCCACUACUACUAACCAUGCCACUACUACUACUGCUGCUGCCACUACUACUGGUAAUACUACUGCCGCUGCUACUAACCAUGCCACUACUACUACUACUGCCACUUCUACUAACCAUGCUACUACAACUGCUGCUGCCACUACUACUAGCCAUGCUACUACUACUACUACUACUACUACUGCCGCUACUGCUGACCAUGCUUCUACUGCUGGUGAUGCUGCUACUACUACUGAUGCUACUGCUGCUACUACUACCACUACUACUGAUGCUAUUGCUACUACUACUGAUGCUAUUGCUACUACUACUGAUGCUAUUGCUACUACUACUGAUGCUGCUGCUACUACUACUACUGCUGCUACUACUACUACUACCACCGCUGCUGCUGCUACUACUACUAGUGAUGCUGCUACUGCUACUGAUGCUGCCUCUGCUACUACUGCUACUACUACUGAUGCUGCCUCUGCUACUACUACUACUGAUGCUGCCUCUGCUGCUAUUACUACUACUACUACUACUACUACUGAUGCUACCUCUGCUACUACUACUACUGAUGCUGCCUCUGCUACUACUACUGAUGCUACCACUGCUACUACUAUUGAUGCUGCCUCUGCUACUGCUACUACUAUUGAUGCUGCCUCUGCUACUGCUACUACUAUUGAUGCUGCCUCUGCUACUGCUACUACUACUGAUGCUGCCUCUGCUACUACUGCUGAUACCACUGCUGCUACCGCUGCUACCGCUACUACUGAUGCAAUUGCUACUACUACUACUACUACCGCUGCUACUACUACUGAUGCUACCUCUACUACUACUACUGAUGCUGCUGCUGCUGCUGCUACUACUACUACUACUACUACUGAUGCUACUACUACUGAUGCUUCCUCUGCUACUACUGCUGCUGCUACUACUGAUGCUACCUCUGCUACUACUACUACUACUACCGCUGCUACUACUACUGAUGCUGCCUCUGCUGCUGCUACUACUGAUGCUGCUGCUACUACUGAUGCUGCUGCUACUACUGAUGCUGCUGCUGCUACUACUGAUGCUGCCGCUGCUACUACUACUGACGCUGCCUCUACUGCUACCGCUGCUGCUACUACUACUACUGAUGCUGCCUCUACUACUACUGAUGCUGCCUCUACUACUGAUGCUACCUCUACUACUGAUGCUACUACUGCUGCCACUACUACUGGUAAUACUACUAACCAUGCUACUACUGCCACUACUACUGCUGCUGCCACUACUACUAACCAUGCCGCUACUACUACUGCUGCUGCCACUACUACUGGUAAUACUACUGCCACUACUACUAACCAUGCUACUACUGCUGCUGCCACUACUACUGGUAAUACUACUGCCGCUGCUACUAACCAUGCCGCUGCUGCUGCUACUACUACUGGUAAUACUACUGCCACUACUACUAACCAUGCUACUACAACCACUGCUGCUUCCACUACUACUGGUAAUACUACUGCCACUACUACUAACCAUGCUACUACUGCCACUACUACUAACCAUGCCACUACUACUACUGAUGCUACUACUACUGAUGCUGCCUCUACUACUACUGAUGCUGCCUCUACUACUGAUGCUACCUCUACUACUGAUGCUACUACUGCUGCUGCUGCCACUACUACUGGUAAUACUACUAACCAUGCUACUACUGCCACUACUACUGCCACUACUACUGGUAAUACUACUGGCACUACUACUAACCAUGCCACUACUACUACUGCUGCUGCCACUACUACUGGUAAUACUACUGCCACUACUACUAACCAUGCCACUACUACUACUGCUGCUGCCACUACUACUGGUAAUACUACUGCCGCUGCUACUAACCAUGCCGCUGCUGCUGCUACUACUACUGGUAAUACUACUGCCACUACUACUAACCAUGCUACUACAACCACUGCUGCUUCCACUACUACUGCCACUGCCACUACUACUAACCAUGCCACUGCUACUACUGAUGCUGCUACUACUGAUGCUGCCUCUACUACUACUGAUGCUGCCUCUACUACUACUGAUGCUGCCUCUACUACUGAUGCUACUACUGCUGCUGCUGCCACUACUACUGGUAAUACUACUAACCAUGCUACUACUAACCAUGCUACUACUGCCACUACUACUGCUGCUGCCACUACUACUGGUAAUACUACUGCCACUACUACUAACCAUGCCACUACUACUGCUGCUGCCACUACUACUGGUAAUACUACUGCCGCUGCUACUAACCAUGCCGCUGCUGCUGCUACUACUACUGGUAAUACUACUGCCACUACUACUAACCAUGCUACUACAACCACUGCUGCUGCCACUACUACUGCCACUACUACUAACCAUGCUACUACUGCCACUACUACUAGCCCUACUACUGCUGACCAUGCUUCUACUACUGGUGAUGCUGCUACUACUACUGAUGCUGCUGCCACUACUACUGGUAAUACUACUGCCACUACUACUAGUCAUACUACUGCUACUACUGCUGACCAUGCUACUGCUACUACUACUGAUGCUACUGCUGCUGCUGCUACUACUACUGAUGCUACUGCUGCUGCUACUACUGCUGAUACCACUGCUGCUACCGCUGCUACCACUACUACUGAUGCUAUUGCUACUACUACUACCGCUGCAACUACUACUACUGAUGUUACCUCUGCUGCUACUACUACUACUACUACUGAUGCUGCCUCUGCUACUGCUGCUACUACUACUACUGAUGCUACUACUGCUACUGCUACUGAUGCUGCCUCUGCUACUACUACUGAUGCUGCCUCUGCUACUACUACUGAUGCUACCGCUGCUACUACUACUGAUGCUGCCUCUGCUACUACUACUACCGCUGCUACUACUACUGAUGCUGCCUCUGCUACUGCUACUACUACUGAUGCUGCCUCUGCUGCUGCUACUACUGAUGCUGCUACUGCUACUACUACUGAUGCUACCUCUGCUACUACUGCUGAUACCACUGCUACCACUACUGAUGCUAUUGCUGCUACUACUACUACUACUACUACUACAGCUGCUACUACUACUGAUGCUGCCUCUGAUGCUGCUGCUACUACUACCGCUGCUGCCUCUACUAUUACCACUGCUACUACUACUGAUGCUGCCUCUGCUACUACAACUACUACUGAUGCUACUACAACUGAGGCUACCUCUGCUGCUACUACUACUGAUGCUACUACUACUGAUGCUGCCUCUGCUACUACUACUGCCUCUGCUACUACUACUGAUGCUACCGCUGCUGCUGCUACUACUACUGAUACUACCUCUGCUACUACUACUACUGAUGCUACUACUACUACUGAUGCUGCCUCUGCUACUACUACUGAUGCUACCUCUGCUACUACUACUACUGAUGCUACUACUACUGAUGCUGCCUCUGCUACUGCUACUACUACUGAUGCUACCGCUGCUGCUGCUACUACUACUACUGAUGCUGCCUCUGCUACUACUACUGAUGCUGCCUCUGCUGCUACUACUGAUGCUACUGCUACUACUACUGAUGCUACCACCACUACUACCACCACUACUACCACUACUAUUACUACUCCUACUACCACUAUUACUGUAUGUGGCUUUAAAAGAGCCUGCUCCCUGCUUGUUAUACACCAGCAUCAAUAAGCGCGAGGGAGGUAGGUGGCGAGUGAAAGGGAAGAGAGGGGUGGAAGUGUGGAGGGAGGGAGAGAAAUAUGGGAGGAUGGUGGAGAGAGGAAAAAGAUCAUGUGAGCUAGAGAGUGCUGGGACUCCCAGCCAGCCCGCCUGCCAGCCCUCCCUCCCUAAUGGAGAUGAAACUAUGUAA